AACAACUAAUUUUUGCAAUAAUUGGAACACAAGUGGAGUUUUGGUGAAGGGCUUCCAUUCAUGUAUCUAAUUUGGCAAAUAAUUCUGAAGGCAGGAGAUCCUCAUGAAAUAUACUUGAACUAUGGGUGUACAGCAGCAAGGUGCCAUCUUGGGAGCAGGAAGCAGGAAUCGGCCACAACAAAUACUGAACCUACUGGCACCCAAGACUCGUGCUUCCCAGACUCCAAACAUGUGAGAACUGAACUGCUAUUUAUAGAUUAACAGUCACACAUUUCAUUCGACAACACACUGCAUAGAGCAUGGUGAUCCCAUGAGAUUGUGUCACCUAGUGAUAUCACAGCCAUCUCAGUUUAGCCACGAGAUCCAGGCUUUGUGUUUUUCUCUGCAAAACAGCCAAGGGAAGAAAACACCUUACAAGUUUGGGACUCACUGCUGUGUGA